rnacentral:lncRNA from 1 species
UUGCCAUGAUUUGAUUUGCGUUGUUGGUAAGUUUAUUUUCAUUGCAAUACUAAGGUGAUAUUGCAACUCUUUAUUUGAUUGUUGCAAUAGCCCAUCUAUAUCGCCACGAAUAUAUUCUGUUGUACAUAAUAGCCGCUUGCGUUGCAAAAAAUUUGUACAUAUAGCAACGAAAAAAAGUUUGUUGCAAUCACUAAGAUUGCAACGAUUAUGGUUUCAUUGUAUGUAGCAGUUUCGUUCGUUGCAAAAAGGUUAUAAUAUCAGCUUCACUAUGGCGCAUCCAAAUAACCAUGAGCCGUUCAUUUAGUGAGAUCCGAUGGCUAAGAUCAUUCGUUACUUCUAAGGUAAUAUGUGAAAUAUAGUUCUAUUUACUGAUUAAUUUGGUAAAAAUAGAUAAAUAAGAAAAGUUUUAAAUAUAAAAAAUCUUUUUGAUCCAAUAGAUACAUGUGUGAUGUCUUUGAUAUGGUAAGCCUUUUUAUUUGCAACUUUGUAUUAGAUAAUUUAAUUAGUGUAAUUGACAUCUAAUGUACAUAGACCCAUUU